ACGUCAUGGUCUACCGUGCAUGCAGCAGCCAAUCGGGAGGCGGAAUGCAGUCGCAGCGGCUGCCGGCGGAGAUGGACAAAGACUCCAGAGCGGGGAGCCAGGGCGUGACCCGGGGAGCGUCCCGGGGCGCGGGGAGCCCCCAGGCCAAAGCUGGUCCGGACUCACCUGGGGGCGGGGGUCGCGCGGCGGACGUGGCUGGCUCUGAGAGCAGACACUCCCAUGUUGGCCCUGAAGGAGCAAACUGCUAUUUUGUGGAGAGAGCCACAUGGCAAGGACCCAAAAGGGGUCUCUAGAAGCUAACAGUGGUCACCAGCUAAAGAUAGCAAGAUGGGAAUCUCAGCUAUAUGGCUACAAGAAAAUUACUUCUGCCAACAACCUGAGGGACCCUGGAAGGCAGACUUCCCCUACUUGAUCUCCAGGUUAACAUUCACAUGACUCAAAAUCCCAGAGAACAAGAGGAUAUUUCCACCCCAGCACCAUCCAAUCAACUUCACUCCUCAGGGGUGACUGCUGUUACCAGCUUAUUGUGUGAAUUGUCAGAAAUAUUCUCUGAAUAUACAAGAAUAUAAAGGUAUAUACAAUCUCCCUGUUUUGAACACAAAUGAUAGUGUACUAUGCACAUUGUUUUCAAAUUUACUUCUUUUAACUUAACAAUACAGUUUGGAACCCUGUCCCUGAUAGUACAUACAGAGCUGCCUUAUUCUUUAACAGACAUGUACUGUUUCAUUAUAUUAUAGUAGGGAUAAAGUUAUCCAGUCAGUCCCCUGUAGCUGAAAUUGAGUUUGUUUUCAACAAUUUGUUCUUUAUACUGCAGCUCUUGAAUGUGACAUUGAAGGUACUAAGUCUGAGCCAUGUGGGCCCCCAGAAUUUAUCCAUGUUCUGGGGGUAUUUGGGCUCAAUGGUAUCUCUGGAUCAAGCUUUUCCCAUCUCGCUUUCCUUUGGUUCUACCCACCCUACCCUCUAGGCCUGGAGUGGCAGCCUCAGCCCUUCACCAUGGCCUGCUCUCUGAUGUCCUCAGAACGCUGCCUGCUCCAUAAAAUCCUCCUGGCCCAACUCCCUUGAUUCUAGCCAAAAGUCUACCAUCAGGAGCUUUUGGCAGAAAACCCAGGGAUAGAGGUUCUGGAUGGAGUUUAAAUAUUUAUUGACCAAUUCCUAGAUUUACCUGGGGUCUCCCUGCUUAUUCUCCAUGUGCUUGUCUGGUUUUCUGCAAAUUUUGUCCUCCCUUUCUGCCAAAGGAAUUUACUGGAUCUAUUCUAAGCUCCUGGGGGCAGGACCUUACUAGGGAGCCUUCAAAAAAUAUGCCUUCUUAUAGGAGAAGAAACCCUUCCACCUGUAAUGUAAUUGCUUGGAAUGGUUGUUUAAAGAUCAUCUAGUACCCUAAGCUUGCAGAUGAGGAAACCGAAGCCUGAAUAAGGGAGAAGGAUUUGCCCAAGUAACAAAAUGAGUGAGUGAAAGGGACAGGACAGGAACUUGAGGCUUCUACCUCCAAUUCUUCCCUCUUCACCUUCUCCUCCUAGAGUUCAAACUCAGUCAACCUUUAUUCUCUUAAAAUCUAGUAUGUAAAGUUAAUAGAAUUGUGGUAUAUUCACACAAUUCAGCAAUAAAAAGGAAUAAACUACUAAUAUCUGCAACAAAUAUGGAUGAACUUCAAGGUAGCAUGCUACACAGAAGAAAUGAGAUGCAAAGAGUAUAUACCAUAUGAUUCCAUUUAUAUGAACUUCUAGAACAGACAAAAGCUAUACAUACCAACAAAGCAGAGCAAUAGCUACCUGGGAGUGGGUGGAAGGACUGAAUAAAAGGACAAUGAGAAACUU